UACGGAGGGUGCGAGCGUUAAUCGGAAUUACUGGGCGUAAAGCGCGCGUAGGUGGUUUUGUAAGUCAGGGGUGAAAUCCCACCGCUCAACGGUGGAACAGCCUUUGAUACUGCAAAGCUAGAGUAUCGGAGAGGGUGGCGGAAUUCCAGGUGUAGGAGUGAAAUCCGUAGAUAUCUGGAGGAACACCAGUGGCGAAGGCGGCCACCUGGACGAAGACUGACACUGAGGCGCGAAAGCAUGGGGAGCAAACAGG
rnacentral:rRNA from 1 species